GGGGGUGUAGCUCAGUUGGGAGAGCGACUGGUUUGCAACCAGUAGGUCGUAGGUUCGAUCCCUAUCAUCUCCACCA
rnacentral:tRNA from 1 species